rnacentral:rRNA from 1 species
UACGAAGGGUGCGAGCGUUGUUCGGAAUUACUGGGCGUAAAGGGUUUGUAGGCAGGAAUGUAAGUCAAGUGUGAAAUCCCCGAGCUAAACUUGGGACGUGCAUUUGAAACUGUGUUUCUUGAGUAUCGUAGAGGGUGGUGGAAUUGUUGGUGUAGGAGUGACAUCCGUAGAGAUCAGCAGGAACAUCAGAGGCGAAAGCGACCACCUGGGCGAUUACUGACGCUGAGGAACGAAAGCGUGGGGAGCAAACAGG